UCUUCCUGCCGUGUGACUGGCGUUUCCUCCCUAAACUCGGGCCGCGUCCGCAAGGACUGCGGCCCGUUUUUUUUCUAGC
rnacentral:sRNA from 1 species